CUACGGGAGGCUCCAGUGGGGAAUAUUGGACAAUGGGGGAAACCCUGAUCCAGCAAUGCCGCGUGUGUGAAGAAGGCCUGCGGGUUGUAAAGCACUUUCGGUUGGGAGGACUGCUUCUAGCACUAAUAUUGUUGGAAGUUGACGUUACCUUCAGAAGAAGCACCGGCUAACUCCGUGCCAGCAGCCGCGGUAAUACGGAGGGUGCAAGCGUUAAUCGGAGUUACUGGGCGUAAAGCGCGCGUAGGCGGCUAGAUCAGUCGGGUGUGAAAGCCCCGGGCUUAACCUGGGAACUGCAUCCGAUACUGUCUAGCUUGAGUACAGGAGAGGAGAGUGGAAUUCCACAUGUAGCGGUGAAAUGCGUAGAUAUGUGGAGGAACACCAAUGGCGAAGGCAGCUCUCUGGCCUGAUACUGACGCUGAGGUGCGAAAGCAUGGGGAGCAAACAGGAUUAGAUACCCCCGUAGUC
rnacentral:rRNA from 1 species